GACGAACGCUGGCGGCGUGCUUAACACAUGCAAGUCGAACGAGACGAUUGAAAGCUUGUUUUCGAAAGUCGAGUGGCAAACGGGUGAGUAACGCGUAGACAACCUGCCCUUGAGAUGGGGACAACAGUUCGAAAGGACUGCUAAUACCGAAUGUUGUAUAUUUUCCACAUGGAAGAUAUAUUAAAGAUGGCCUCUAUUUAUAAGCUAUCGCUCAAAGAUGGGUCUGCGUCUGAUUAGCUGGUUGGUGGGGUAACGGCCUACCAAGGCGACGAUCAGUAGCCGGUCUGAGAGCAUGAACGGCCACAUUGGGACGGGGACACGGCCCAGACUCCAAAGGGAGGCAGCAGUGGGGAAUCUUCCACAAUGGACGAAAGUCUGAUGGAGCAACGCCGCGUGAGUGAAGAAGGGUUUCGGCUCGUAAAGCUCUGUUGUCGGGGACGAAUGUGCAGUAUUUGAAUAAAGUACUGCAAUGACGGUACCUGACGAGGAAGCCACGGCUAACUACGUGCCAGCAGCCGCGGUAA
rnacentral:rRNA from 1 species